CGUGCCUCCGCCUCCGCCGGCCGGCCCGAGGUCAGCCUCGCGUUUACGUCCGGCGGGCGAGAAAGCCGCUCGUGGACCUGCAGAUGUCGCGACUCUCGAUCAUCUCCAGCAGACGCCGCGGGGGUCGCGCUGAGGACACAUUCCAGCUGCCCCAGCUGGGGUCACCGUUUCAGGUUGUCAUCGAAGGCGUCCCCGCCGCCGACCACGUGACCGAUGCUGCCGUCGUUGACGUCACCCUGAUGCAUGGAGACGAAU